AUACGUAGGUGGCAAGCGUUGUCCGGAAUUAUUGGGCGUAAAGCGCGCGCAGGCGGUCUCUUAAGUCUGAUGUGAAAGCCCACGGCUCAACCGUGGAGGGUCAUUGGAAACUGGGAGACUUGAGUGCAGAAGAGGAGAGCGGAAUUCCACGUGUAGCGGUGAAAUGCGUAGAGAUGUGGAGGAACACCAGUGGCGAAGGCGGCUCUCUGGUCUGUAACUGACGCUGAGGCGCGAAAGCGUGGGGAGCGAACAGGAUUAGAUACCCUGGUAGUCCACGCCGUAAACGAUGAGUGCUAAGUGUUAGAGGGCUUCCACCCUUUAGUGCUGCAGCUAACGCACUAAGCACUCCGCCUGGGGAGUACGGCCGCAAGGCUGAA
rnacentral:rRNA from 1 species